AAAACAAAAAUCUGUACCUCUUGGAAUUUAUAUUGUAGAUGGGUAAUAAUAAGAGAUAUUAUCUUCUAGUCCAGUGCUCAACUAGGGGUGAUUUUUACCUGUCCCCCCAGAAAUUUGGCAAUUUCUGAGGGCAGUUUUGGUUGUCACAACUGAGGAGAAGGGGUGCUACUGACAUCUGGAUGAUAACAUGUUUGGAGACAAAUGCCUUCUUUCUGCAUCUUCUACGAAGUAAAAGCUGGGCAGCAUAAGAAACCGCCUUCUAUGAAGAACAUCUAUAAAGAACAGCGUUUCAGAUAUCUAUUCCAGAUGUCAUAGCGUUUUCACCAUUGGUGGAAGAAACCAAUUCAACAGAAUGACCUUUCCAUGUGCUGUUGGUUAUGCAGCCCUCCUGUUGAGUAUUUACCUUUGGAAACAAGAAACCUUCGAUUCCUAAAUUCCUCUUUCAUAACAUUAUGAUAUGCCCAAUCAAGUAAAGAUUUAAUGCUGGA